UUCCGUUUCAUGUUUUGCUGAUGAUACUAAACUAUUUAAAACUAUUAACAACCAAACGGACGCGAACUUACUGCAAAACGAUUUAAAUAAUCUUAGCACAUGGUCAACAUCAUCAGGGUUAAACUUCAACGAACUUAAAACAAAUUGUCAGACAGUUACUCGGAAAAGAUCACCUUUAAUCCAUGAGUAUGCUGUAAAUGGUAAGCCCAUUGGAAGACUCGACGAAGAACGUGACCUUGGAGUACGGGUAACCAACACUUUGUCAUGGAAGUCCCAGGUAGUUGCACAAACCUCAGCAGCCAACAAAUCUCUUGGCUGUGUUCGCCGCUCUGUGAGUAACAUUAAUGACGUUAACGUUCGCCGUACUCUAUACCUUGCCAUUGUUCGUCCACAUCUCGGGUAUGCCACUCAGGUUUGGUCCCCACAAUCAAUUGACCUUAUCAGACGUGUCGAAAGGGUCCAGCGUCGUGCUACUAAAGUCAUCCUAAACCUACCUUUUAAAACUGAUAUAACCUAUAAACAACGUUUGAGCUCACUCCAUCUACUUCCUAUCUCCUACUGGCAUGAAUUCCUUGAUCUGGUAUUUUUCUUCAAAAUUGUUCACAAUAUUACCACCAUGAACUCUGAAGUCAAGCCAACUCAACAUAUUCCCACAAGAUCAACCCGAAAUACUUCCGAUCCUAGUCUACUCUACUUUCAUCCUAAAAGAUGUAAAACCAUAACUUUUCAACGAUCAUUCUUCUCACGCACGUGCAGAGUUUGGAACAACCUACCUGACGAAAUGCGCCGCAUGGAUACAUCUUUAUUACGCUUUAGAAGUUUGCUUAAAGAAUAUUAUUUGAC